rnacentral:rRNA from 1 species
GACGAACGCUGGCGGCGUGCUUAACACAUGCAAGUCGAACGGAAAGGCCCUGCUUUUGUGGGGUGCUCGAGUGGCGAACGGGUGAGUAACACGUGAGUAACCUGCCCUUGACUUUGGGAUAACUUCAGGAAACUGGGGCUAAUACCGGAUAGGAGCUCCUGCUGCAUGGUGGGGGUUGGAAAGUUUCGGCGGUUGGGGAUGGACUCGCGGCUUAUCAGCUUGUUGGUGGGGUAGUGGCUUACCAAGGCUUUGACGGGUAGCCGGCCUGAGAGGGUGACCGGCCACAUUGGGACUGAGAUACGGCCCGGACUCCUACGGGAGGCAGCAGUGGGGAAUAUUGCACAAUGGGCGGAAGCCUGAUGCAGCAACGCCGCGUGCGGGAUGACGGCCUUCGGGUUGUAAACCGCUUUCGCCUGUGACGAAGCGUGAGUGACGGUAAUGGGUAAAGAAGCACCGGCUAACUACGUGCCAGCAGCCGCGGUGAUACGUAGGGUGCGAGCGUUGUCCGGAUUUAUUGGGCGUAAAGGGCUCGUAGGUGGUUGAUCGCGUCGGAAGUGUAAUCUUGGGGCUUAACCCUGAGCGUGCUUUCGAUACGGGUUGACUUGAGGAAGGUAGGGGAGAAUGGAAUUCCUGGUGGAGCGGUGGAAUGCGCAGAUAUCAGGAGGAACACCAGUGGCGAAGGCGGUUCUCUGGGCCUUUCCUGACGCUGAGGAGCGAAAGCGUGGGGAGCGAACAGGCUUAGAUACCCUGGUAGUCCACGCUGUAAACGGUGGGUACUGGGUGUGGGGUCCAUUCCACGGGUUCCGUGCCGUAGCUAACGCUUUAAGUACCCCGCCUGGGGAGUACGGCCGCAAGGCUAAAACUCAAAGGAAUUGACGGGGCCCCGCACAAGCGGCGGAGCAUGCGGAUUAAUUCGAUGCAACGCGUAGAACCUUACCUGGGUUUGACAUGGAUCGGGAGCGCUCAGAGAUGGGUGUGCCUCUUUUGGGGUCGGUUCACAGGUGGUGCAUGGCUGUCGUCAGCUCGUGUCGUGAGAUGUUGGGUUAAGUCCCGCAACGAGCGCAACCCUUGUUCACUGUUGCCAGCACGUUAUGGUGGGGACUCAGUGGAGACCGCCGGGGUCAACUCGGAGGAAGGUGGGGAUGACGUCAAGUCAUCAUGCCCCUUAUGUCCAGGGCUUCACGCAUGCUACAAUGGCUGGUACAGAGAGUGGCGAGCCUGUGAGGGUGAGCGAAUCUCGGAAAGCCGGUCUCAGUUCGGAUUGGGGUCUGCAACUCGACCUCAUGAAGUCGGAGUCGCUAGUAAUCGCAGAUCAGCAACGCUGCGGUGAAUACGUUCCCGGG